rnacentral:sRNA from 2 species
UUGCAUUUGAAGCCCAUGAGGAUGAGAACCUCCGGGGGCGGGGAGGUUCGACUCGAGCGAAGCGAGAGAACGUUGCGCCAGCAACGG